rnacentral:lncRNA from 1 species
GGAAAUGGCAUUUCAGCAUAGAUCAAAGUAUCCCAGACAGAGAAAAGAGCAAGUAUAAAUGUCCUGAAGUAGGACCAGGUUGGCAUGUUAGUGGUGAGAGUUAAGUGCAGAGAUUUGGACAAGGACGUAUUCGUGUAAAGCCUUAUAGAUUGUGUUGUGUAGAAGAAAGGGGGAGUGUGGUUGCAGGAAAAUCAUUCAGAAUGUUUUAUAUCCAAUGGUGAUGUAUUCUGACAUAUGGUAUUGAAUCGGUUGAUAGCAUAGUCGAUGAAGAGAGAACUGAUGGAGGGUAUACUUUGGGUGUUAUGCUGGAGGUACUUACUGAUGGAUUGCCAAAAAAGCUCCCCAAAUUUGGAGUGAACUAAUCAAUGGCUUUGUGGCAUAUUGACAAGAAACAGCCUCUGUUCAUUUCGAUAACAUGAAGAGAAUGAAAGUGGUAUUACAUUCUCUUGGACAAAAAAAGCUAAGAAUGUUAAUUGUGAUUAGCUGAAAAACAAGUACACUAAUUACUACUUAAUAAAUACAACACAUACUCCUUGUUUAAAAUUCAGUUGGUUUAUUACAGUACACUAUUCUGUUCCCUAUGAUUUUAAAAGGCUUGCUCUACUCACAUUCAUAGCUCUCCCUUCUUAAUUCAAAUAACAAAUAUUUAUCAAUUGCCUAAUAUAACCUAUAUUUCAGGGAAAUAACAUAAAAAGCACAUAGACAUAGUCACAAAAUUUUCUGUCAAAAUAUUGAAAAGUUGACCUCGUUCUUCUGAAGUUUAACGCUAUAAGAAAUUCAAGGCAGGUAUGUUAGUUUUUCUUCUGUGGAUAGACUUUUAUUUGUUGUUGUUUGACCCACAUUAUACUUGUGUGAUUUUUUUUUUUUUUGGUGGUUUAGUACUAUGUUCAUUUUUGAUAUCCAAGUACUUUACCAAGUUUUACUAAGAUUUAUUUUCUUUUCAUUAAUAUUUCAUGGCUCCCUUUGUCUUCAACUAAAAUGUUUCUCCCAUCCAGCCUUUGAUUAUUUUGUUUUGUACUAUUUGAGUUAGUGUCAUUUUAAAGAACAGCAUUUACCCAUGGGAUGGUUUCCUCUUUCUGUUUUUGUUUGUCAGCCUACGGAUUUAUUCAUACCUUUGUCUUUUUAUUUUGCCUUCUUUCUGCACCAUUGAUUUACCAUUUUACUCUUUCUGAAACUUUAUUUUUCUCUUAAUGUAUUUUCAUUUAUUUACACUCUGCCUGUCAUCCAGUUCUCUCUUUCCCUCUAUUUCAGUGCCUCUGUUUUCAUACAUGCUACUUUUUCAAUAUUUAUGUAGAAUUUUUCAAAAUUUCUGUUUUCUGGAUAGUUUUCUUUUUAAUGAUUUUUAUUUUUUUCCAUUAUAUCUGGUUUACAGUGUUCUGUCAAUUUUCUCCUGUAUAGCAAAGGGACCCAGUCACACAUACAUGUAUACACUCUUUUUUCUCACAUUAUCAUGCUCCAUCAUAAGUGAUCAGACAUAGUUGCCAGUGCUAAACAGCAGGAUGUCAUUGCUUAUCCAUUCCAAAGGCAAUAGUCUGCAGCUAUUAACCCCAAGUCCCCAGUCCAUCCCACUCCCUCCCUCUCCCCCUUGGCAACCACAAGUCUCUUCUCCAAGUCCAUGAUUUUCUUUUCUGUGGAGACGUUCAUUUGUACCAUAUAUUAGAUUCCAGAUAUAAGUGAUAUCAUAUGGUAUUUAUCUUUGUCUUUCUGACUUACUUCACUCAAUAUGAGAGUCUCUGGUUCCAUCCAUGUUGCUGCAAAUGCAUUAUUUUGUCCCUUUUAUGGCUGAGUAGUAUUCCAUUGUGUAUAUAUACCACAUCUUCUUAGUCCAUUCAUCUGUUGAUGGACAUUUAGGUUGUUUCCAUGUCAUGGUUGUUGUGAGUAUUGGUGCAGUGAACAUAUAGAUCUAUGCUUCUUUUUCAAGGAAAGUUUUGUCCGGAUAUCUGCCCAAGAGUGGGAUUGCUGGGUCAUAUGGUGGUUCUAUGUAUAGUUUUCUAAGGUACCUCCAUACUGUUCUCCACAGUGAUUGUACCAGCUUACAUUCCCACCAACAGUGCAGGAGGGUUCCCUUUUCUCCACACCCCCUCCAGCACUUGUUAUUUUUGGACUUAUUAAUGAUGGCCAUUCAGACUGGUGUGAGGUGGUAUUUCAUGGUAGUUUUGAUCAAUAACCAGUGAUGUCGAGCAUUUUUUCAUGUGCUUGUUGGCCAUCUGUAUAUCUUCUUUGGUGAAAUGUCUAUUCAGGUCUUUUGCCCAUUUUUCCAUUGGGUUGUUGGCUUUUUUUCUGUUGAGUUGUAGAAGUUCUUUGUAUAUUUUAGAAAUUAAGCCCUUGUCAAUUGCAUCAUUUGAAACAAUUUUCUCCCAUUUUGUAAAUUUUUUUUUUUUUUUUUUUUGUGGUUUCCGUUGCUGUGCAAAAGCUUGUCAGUUUGAUUAGGUCCCAUUGGUUUAUUUUUGCUUUUAUUUCUGUUGCCUUGGGAGACUGGCCUGAGAAAACAUUUGUAAGGUUGAUGUCAGAGAAUGUUUUGCCUGUGUUCUCUUCCAGGAGUUUGAUGGUGUCUUGUCUUACGUUUAAGCCUUUAAGCCAUUUUGAGUUUAUUUUUGUACAUGGUGUAAGAGUGUGUUCCAGCUUUCACAAGCAGGGAUUACCCCGCCCAACUCCAGUUCUCCUUUUUAUUGCAUGUUAUAGGACUUUUUCCUAAAGUUGUACCUAUUUUAAAAAUGUUUUCUUAUCCUUGAGUGAUUUCUAUUUAGACGGGCAUUUUGCCCAUCAACAAAACCUUCACAUUCUUCUUAUCGUCUUUUUCUUUCUUUGGGCUUAAAAAAACACAAUCCCUUUAUAUAUUAAACAGAGAUACUAGGUGCUGUGUAGCCUUCUGGUCUUUCACAGUGACUUUUAGUAUGAGAAUUUGCUAAGCUAAGGAGGAAAUUACAGGUUCUGUCUCCUGGUCAUCUUAUCUUUCCAGAUACAAUGAAAAGGGGAAAGUUUCAAAAAUAACUUAGAGUUUCAAAUGUGCAUCAUGAAGUUCCCAUCAUGCUUCUGUGGUUAACGGCUAGUAUCCAUGAAGAUGCAGACUCCAUCUCUGACCUUGCUCCGUGGGUUAAGGAUCUGUGUUGCCGUGAGUUGUGGCGUAGGUCGCAGAUGCAGCUCUGAUCUGGCAUUGCUGUGGCUGUGGCAUAGGCCAGUAGCUAUAGCUCCAAUUUGACCCCUAGCUGGGAACUUCCAUAUGCUGUGGGUGUGGCCCUAAAAAGCAAAAAAAAAAAAAAAAAGGAAAAAAAAAA